rnacentral:rRNA from 1 species
GAUGAACGCUGGCGGCGUGCUUAACACAUGCAAGUCGAACGAUGAAGCCCAGCUUGCUGGGUGGAUUAGUGGCGAACGGGUGAGUAACACGUGAGUAACCUGCCCUUAACUCUGGGAUAAGCCUGGGAAACUGGGUCUAAUACCGGAUAGGAGCGCCUACCGCAUGGUGGGUGUUGGAAAGAUUUAUCGGUUUUGGAUGGACUCACGGCCUAUCAGCUUGUUGGUGAGGUAAUGGCUCACCAAGGCGACGACGGGUAGCCGGCCUGAGAGGGUGACCGGCCACACUGGGACUGAGACACGGCCCAGACUCCUACGGGAGGCAGCAGUGGGGAAUAUUGCACAAUGGGCGAAAGCCUGAUGCAGCGACGCCGCGUGAGGGAUGACGGCCUUCGGGUUGUAAACCUCUUUCAGUAGGGAAGAAGCGAAAGUGACGGUACCUGCAGAAGAAGCACCGGCUAACUACGUG